CCCGUGUGACCGGCGCAAGGGGCGGAGCCGCGCCGGGCGCCUCUGAGCCACCCCAGGGUAUUUUAAAAGAGCCUGCGCCGUACCUUUUGGACUUUCAGUCUCCAAAACUGAUUGGCAUCAUUGUUUGGCUACUGAGAGUAUUUGAUGGCUUUAGUUAUUAUUAUUAUUUCUGAGAACCUGGUGGACACUGAGUUAAGUGAUAAAGAUCCCUUUCUGGCCCUCCAAAGUGGAGGACUUAGUCCCAUAUCGUGGUAAGUUCAGAAAACAAAUAAAAGAUUCUGUGGCAUCUGUGUGUCGAAUUACUGCUAAGUGCUCUACUAGUGUUAUCAUUGGGCUAUCAUGAAGAAACUGAGGACCAAAAGGGGUUUAGUAACCUUGGUAACACUGAUGUGAAGAGGAAGAUGGGAUGGAAACCUACACUGCCCUUCUCCAGGAUCCAUGGUCUUAAAGCAGUGCCCGUAGUAGGCUUCUGGGUCAUAUUGUCAGACUGCAAAUUAUGGAAUUUGUAUUUAGUUUGAAUUUGGCCAUUUUCGAGUGAUUUUACAUUACAGAAAAUAUGAUUAAAAACAUACAUCCAUUGUUAGAUUAACCGUGGAAACAUUGCUUCAAAAUAAAGGGUAGCUCACGUGGAUUUUGUCAGUUGUUCAUUUGUAGUCUAUCACUAUUUCCUGUACUCAUCAGUAUUAUCCUGUUAACUUUAACUGCGUUUGCUUUCCUCUGUAUCUGGUUUGACUUCUCAUAAUUUCAUGUUACUACUUGUAUAGAUGUCUUCUUAUAAUGUUCUCUUUCUAGUUUCUCACUCUCCAUUGUAUAAGGAAUAACUUUCAGCAUCAUUAUUAGCCAACUGAAAAGCAUUUCAACAUUUUUAAAUCAAGAGAACUUCUUUCAUCUGUUGGAUUUCAUGAAUGAAAUACUUCAAACCUGCUUUUUCUUAAUCUACUUUAAGGAAUUUUUAACUGGCCUGGACCAUCUUAUUGUAUGAGUAAUUUCAAUUGCUUUGGCAAAUGAUCUCGGACUAAUAGUUUUCAUUUUCAUUUGUUUCAACAAAUAUUUG
ensembl:lncRNA